AAUUUUCAAAAAUUUCCUACAGGGUCUAUUUAAACAGCGCAGCUAUAUAAUUAGGGAAUAUUACCAACAAAUACUCUUAAUCGUUAUGAUUAUACUUGUGUACAUGUGGAAACCGUUUGUCGGAGAAAUGACAAUGCACUGAACUGUCAGUUCGUGAUAAGAAUGAGAGGGAGAGCGUGAAAUCAAAGCGGGUACGGUUAAAGACCUGUUGAAAAAUAUACAUAAAUUAUUAUUUACAGAUUUUUUUUUUGAAACCCUCGCCUGUGUAGAUAAAUGUAGAAAUUUAUAGCCUAUAGUUUUCUAGAAUUCUAACGAAACGUUAUCAAAUAACGGAUUGAGAACGGGGAAGCAGAGCAAAAAAGCCAUACACAACUGCUUACAAGUCUCACGGGCUGGACAAUUGUAAUCGCAGUGUACAACGUUCAUAACACGGAAAUACAGGCGUACCAAGCAUUUGUCGGGUAUUAACAUAUACGAAAAAAAAGUUAUAAAAAGUCACUACAACAACAUAAAAAGUAUUUACAACAACACCAACAAAAUGUGGUAGCAAAAAGCUCGUAACAAAUGAAUAUGUAAAUCGCUGUUAAAUGCCGCUUCAGCGCGAAAAUGAAAUCUAAAAAGCAGAGGUCGAUACAAAUGAUCUUAGGUACUAAAUUCAAAUUUGAUAUGGCUUGCUGCAGCAUUACUCAACUCGAGCCCAACUGUUCUAUCUCAAAUAAACACAAUUUAGCACGGAGCAGAAGCGAUAACGAGCACUCCACUCCUUGAUGUUGUUGGGUCGCAGGGGAACCUGAGAAGCUGCACGGCACGACUCAGUUAUUAUCGCUCGAGACUAAAAUAUUAUAUUAAAUGUCGCCCAGAGGGCAGAUAUAAACAAAAGAAAUUGAAAUGUGCAGUCAACGAAGCGAACGCGGCGCAGAACGGAAACGGAAAGCAACAGGCCGUCGAACAGACGGUGAUGAAGAAACGAAACAAAUUAGUAAAACAACAAGAGCAAAGCAAAAUAAAGCAAAAAUUAGUUGGAACAGUGAAGGGAAAGAGUUUAAGAAAAUAAAAAAAAAAUAUUUAAAACAAAAUGAAAAAAAAAAUAAAAAAAUUUGAAAUAAAAAAAUAUAAAAUUUUUUAAGAAAUUAAAAAAAAAAAAAAUUAAAUUAAAAAAUAGAGAUUAUAAAGCACAAAUACAAAAAAAUAAAAAAAACAAUUCAAAAUAAUUACUAACAACAACAAAUUGGCCGAUAAGGCCUGAAAGUAUGUAUGUAAUGCGCCUAACGGCAGAAGCUGGACUUCAACAACAUUCUUAUGUAUACAAAAUGUAUAAAUAAACGAUAAGGACAACAAAAAAUAUGAAUUUGCGCGACUGAGAUAAGCAGCAAAUAAAUAUUGAAGGGAAAAAUAAUUAAAAAAUAUUAUUGCAAAAAAUAGCAAUUUUAAGUAAAAAACAAGUUUGCCUUCUCUACUCAGUUCGCCGCUUAUUAUUGUUGUUUUAUACACUACGCUUUUGCAUUGCAAUUUUUGCGGUGGAUGCUGUACAACGGCCGUUGUUUGUAUACAUUGCAUUUCGCUUUGUUGUUACUGUUAUUAUUGUUGUUGUUGUCAUUAAUCUGUUUACUGACGACGCUGAAAUGUCGUUUGCGAAAAGCGCACAAAAUGUGAUUGUCACCGGGCGCACACAGCAACAACAAACAAAAAACAACAAUAACAACAAAGAAAAAUAGCAACAAAAACAACAACAACAACGACUGCAAACAAUACACAGCAAAUGGCAUCGCCAACGGGUCAAACGGCGCAUUAUUUCAUACAAAAAACAGGCAGACAGGCAUACAGCAGCCUGUGCGACAGCAGACGGUGGGUUGAGCAGGAGGUGCAGUUAGCCCCCUUCCUCCUCCUCCGCAGUUACUCAGAACUCAUGCUAGAGUGCAUUUAAAAGUUUCUUGUUCAGUUAUACGCGCUACGCACAGAUUGUUUGCGCGAAGCAAAGGAAAGGGGAAAAAACGCGAAAACGCAAAAAAAGUGCAGAAAUACUGCGCUGAAAUGGAUAAGGAAGAGCGCGAACUUUUAAUUAUUUACAGCACAUAUUCGGUGUAGAAAAUUGUGCAAAGCAAGUGUGCAAAGUAAAUGAAACAAUAAUAGCAAAGUGGGAUUUUAAAGCGCGUUGACACUGGUUUACAGAUUUUAAAAUUUUGAAAAAAUUAAAUUAAAAAAAAUUGAAAAAAAAAUUUUUUUUUGGAAAAAUAUUAUUUUUUAUUAUAGUUAAAUAUUUUUUUUAU